AGCAAUUUGGCGCAGUGGAAGCGCGGUAAGUCAAUUACCCGGAGGUCCUACGAUCGAAACGUAGAAUUGCUA